UAAGUAAAGAAAUGGUGCUGGAAGC
rnacentral:misc_RNA from 1 species